rnacentral:rRNA from 1 species
AUGUGGCGAGAGGACGAAGGGGACAAUUGGAGUUCAGCAAAUAAGUCCGGGAAAUUGGUGUGGCACCAACUCCCACCGACAAUCUCGCGAAAGCAGCUCCAGAGGAGCCGGGCGGAGAUGCAGGCGAAGAAGAUGUGGUUGGAGUCCUCGGGAACAACACAGAGGGGGCAGAUACCAGUGCCCGGGCCAUUACGCUUGCGGACCUCCACACCGGACGGGAUCCGUCCACGGAUCCACUGCCACAUGAAGAUGCGAAUCUUCAGGGGGACGCGGACGGACCACACCAUCGAUAGGGGGAGGGGAGCGGAGGAGGGGGCAAUGGCCAAGUAUAGCGAUUUGGUAGAGAACUGGCCCGACGGCUCCAGGUGCCAGCGCACAAGAUCCUGA